rnacentral:rRNA from 1 species
AACUCUGAGCCGGUGGAUCACUCGGCUCUCGUGCGUCGUCGAUGAAGAGCGCAGCCAACUGCAGUGAAUUAGUUGUGAAUUGCAGGCGAUACUCUUGAACAUCGACAUCUUGAACGCAUAUUGCCGGCCUCAGGUCUCCCCUGUUGGCCACGCUGGCGAGGGUCG